rnacentral:tRNA from 1 species
GGGGCUGUAGCUCAGUGGUAGAGCACCUAUCUUGCACGUGUGAGGCACUGGGUUCGAUACUCAGCACCA